rnacentral:rRNA from 1 species
GACGAACGCUGGCGGCGUGCUUAACACAUGCAAGUCGAACGGUGAAGCGCCUUCCUUUUUGGUGGGUGUGGAUGAGUGGCGAACGGGUGAGUAACACGUUAGUAACCUUCCCCCUUCUUCUGGAUAACCGCAAGAAAGUGUUGAUAAUACGUGAUAUUCUGGGUCUGUCGCAUGAUGGGUCUGGGAAGGUUAUUGUUUCAGUUGUGGAUGGGCUCGCGUCCUAUUAGCUUGUUGGUGGGGUGAUGGCCUACCAAGGCGGCGAUGCGUAGCCGACCUGAGAGGAGGGUCGACCGCAACAGUGGUGAGGAGAGACGGCCAAGCCUACGGCGGGAGGCAGCAGUGAAGCAUCCUGAAUAGUGGGAGGCAGGAUGAUGCAGCGCCGCCGCAUGAGGGAUGGAGGCCUGCGGGUUGAGAUCUGCUUUUGCGAGUGAAGCAGGCUUGCCGCGUUUGUGGGUGGCUUGACGGUAGCUGGAUAAGAAGCGCCGGCUAACUACGUG